rnacentral:rRNA from 1 species
UACGUAGGGGGCAAGCGUUGUCCGGAUUUUCUGGGUGUAAAGGGUGCUCAGGUGGCUUGGAAAGUCAGUGGUGAAAUCUGAGAGCUUAACUCUCAAACUGCCAUUGAUACUUCUUAGCUUGAGUACGGAAGAGGCUGAUGGAAUUUCAGGUGUAGCAGUGAAAUGCGUAGAUAUCUGAAAGAACACCAGUGGCGAAGGCGGUCAGCUGGUCCGUUACUGACACUAAAGCACGAAAGCGUGGGUAGCAAACAGG